rnacentral:rRNA from 1 species
UAUCCUUAUUUGCCAGCGAGAUUAUGUCGGGAACUAUAGGGAGACUGCCGGUGAUAAACCGGAGGAAGGUGGGGACGACGUCAAGUCAUCAUGGCCCUUACGGGAUGGGCUACACACGUGCUACAAUGGCGGAUACAAAGGGUUGCUAACCAGCGAUGGUAUGCGAAUCUCAUAAAGUCCGUCGUAGUCCGGAUCGGAGUCUGCAACUCGACUCCGUGAAGUUGGAAUCGCUAGUAAUCGUGGAUCAGAAUGCCACGGUGAAUACGUUC